UACGUAGGGGGCAAGCGUUGUCCGGAUUUAUUGGGCGUAAAGAGCGUGUAGGCGGUUUGGUAGGUCCGCUGUGAAAACUCGAGGCUCAACCUCGAGACGCCGGUGGAAACCAUCAGACUAGAGUCCGGAAGAGGAGAGUGGAAUUCCUGGUGUAGCGGUGAAAUGCGCAGAUAUCAGGAAGAACACCCGUGGCUAAGGCGGCUCACUGGACCACAACUGACGCUGAGGCGCGAAAGCUAGGGGAGCAAACAGG
rnacentral:rRNA from 1 species